AUUGAACGCUGGCGGCAGGCCAAACACAUGCAAGUCGAGCGAGCGGCGGACGGGUGAGUAAUGUCUGGGGACUGCCCGAUAGAGGGGGAUAACUACUGGAAACGGUGGCUAAUACCGCAUACUAUCGGAUAACCAAUAUGGGAUUAGCUAGUAGGGGGGGUAAAGGCUCACCUAGGCGACGAUCUCUAGCUGGUCUGAGAGGAUGAUGAGACAGACUGGGACUGCGACACGGCCCAGACUCCUACGGAGGCAGCAGUGGGGAAGAUUGCACAAUGGGAGCAAGCCACAUGCAGCCAGGCCGCGUGUAUGAAGAAGGCCUUAGGGUUGUAAACCUCUUUCGCUAUCGAACGGGUAGGUGGAGAAGAAGCGCCGGCUAACUACGUGCCAGCAGCCGCGGUAAUAC
rnacentral:rRNA from 1 species